rnacentral:tRNA from 1 species
GGGGGAGUGCCGGAAUUGGUAGACGGGCAUGACUUAGGAUCAUGUGUCGAAAGGCGUCGGGGUUCGAGUCCCCGCUUCCCCACCA